rnacentral:rRNA from 1 species
AGGUAUGCUUUAGGAGGGGCUUGCGCCAUAUUAGUUAGUUGGUAGGGUAAUGGCCUACCAAGACGAUGAUGUGUAGCUGGACUGAGAGGUUGAACAGCCACAUUGGGACUGAGACACGGCCCAAACUCCUACGGGAGGCAGCAGUAGGGAAUUUUCGGCAAUGGAGGAAACUCUGACCGAGCAACGCCGCGUGAAUGACGAAGUACUUCGGUAUGUAAAGUUCUUUUAUCAAGGAAGAAAAGCAAAUGGCGAACCAUUUGUUUGCCGGUACUUGAUGAAUAAGCCCCGGCUAAUUAUGUGCCAGCAGCCGCGGUAAGACAUAAGGGGCAAGUGUUAUCCGGAAUUAUUGGGCGUAAAGGGUGCGUAGGCGGUCUAGUAAGUCAGUGGUGUAAUGGCAACGCUUAACGUUGUCCGGCUAUUGAAACUGCUAAACUUGAGUUAGAUAGAGGCGAGUGGAAUUCCAUGUGUAGCGGUAAAAUGCGUAAAUAUAUGGAGGAACACCAGAGGCGUAGGCGGCUCGCUGGGUCUUAACUGACGCUGAGGCACGAAAGCGUGGGGAGCAAACAGGAUUAGAUACCCUGGUAGUCCACGCCGUAAACGAUGAGUACUAAGUGUCGGGUUAAACCGGUACUGAAGUUAACACAUUAAGUACUCCGCCUGAGUAGUACGUACGCAAGUAUGAAACUUAAAGGAAUUGACGGGACUCCGCACAAGCGGUGGAUCAUGUUGUUUAAUUCGAAGAUACCCGAAAAACCUUACCAGGUCUUGACAUGUUUUUGCAAAAUGAUAGUAAUAUCGUGGAGGUUACCAGAAACACAGGUGGUGCAUGGUUGUCGUCAGCUCGUGUCGUGAGAUGUUAGGUUAAGUCCUAAAACGAGCGAAACCCUUAUCGUUAGUUGCCAGCACGUUAUGGUGGGGACUUUAACGAGACUGCCAAUGAUAAAUUGGAGGAAGGUGAGGAUCACGUCAAAUCAGCAUGCCCCUUAUGACCUGGGCUACAAACGUGAUACAAUGGCUGUUACAAAGGGUAGCUGAAACGCAAGUUCUUGGCCAAUCCCCAAAAACAGUCCCAGUCCGGAUUGAAGUCUGCAACUCGACUUCAUGAAGUGGAAU